rnacentral:lncRNA from 1 species
CCGUGUUGUUUUUCGGGGUACAAGUUCACACGCGAGCGGCGUGGCGGCGCGAGGAAAGGGUGUAGCUCCGUAGAUAGCGGCCGUACCGCGAGAUCAGAGAUAGCGGUACCCCAUGUCGAUCUAGCUAGGGAUUUAAAGAUAAGGAACAAACUUGUAUUAAGUGUUGUAAUAACCGGGUUGUAUUUGGAAGUGAAGGAAUUAGAUGUAAUGUAAAAUGUAUGUAUGAGUUGAAUGUUGUAAUAGCAUAGUUGUAUUUAUGUUUUUGAUACCUUCCAUUUGCAGUCUGUGAUUGAAU